rnacentral:lncRNA from 1 species
CCACAAACUGCCUUCACAUUGGGGCUUUACACUCUCUUUUUGGCCUUUCUUCAAGUGUUGACAGUGUUCACUAACUGAUGACUACAAUGUCUAAGAAAACAAGCUUGAUGGAAUAGUUUCAGCUGCAUUUAAAGUAUAUUUAUGACAGGAAGACAGUGUUCAAAAUGUUUUGCUUAUUGAAAAAAAGCAACAUGCAGAAAUACAGAAGAAGUUGGAGACCUGCCAGUUAGCUAUCAAAGUGAUUAACUACGGGAUGGUACGUAUCCACCUGAGCAGACCACAAGCUAUUUAACAGUAAAGAAUGAUAUUUUAUGACCCACAGGG